rnacentral:rRNA from 1 species
AUUGAACGCUGGCGGCAGGCCUAACACAUGCAAGUCGAGCGAGCGGCGGACGGGUGAGUAAUGUCUGGGAAACUGCCUGCUUGAGGGGGAUAACUACUGGAAACGGUAGCUAAUACCGCAUACCAUCAGAUUUGCCCAGAUGGGAUUAGCUAGUAGGUGGGGUAACGGCUCACCUAGGCGCCGAUCCCUCGCUGGUCUGAGAGGAUGACCAGCCACACUGGAACUGAGAAACGGCCAAGACUCCUACGGGAGGCAGCAGGGGGGAAUAUUGCACAAUGGGCGCAAGCCUGAUGCAGCCAUGCCGCGUGGGUGAAGAAGGCCUUCGGGUGGUAAAGCACGUUCAGCGGGGAGGCGUUACCCGCAGAAGAAGCACCGGCUAACUCCGUGCCAGCAGCCGCGGUAAUUC